GGAUUAUGUACAUUGUGUUUUCUUUAAAAUUUUUGACUGUGAAGGAGCUAAGUACAGAGAGACAUUUCAUUAUAUGGGCUGCUAAGCUGAACCUGCACAUAUGUUCUAAAGGUAUCUUGACUUCAGAAUUUGGAUCUAAGGAUAUGAUGCUUUGGAGAGGGUCUUCUUUUGUUUUUGCAGAGGAUGAGACCCUGUGGAUUGCAUCUAUUCCGAUUUGGUAUGAUAGACCACGCCCUCCUGAAAGGUUGCUGUGAAUACCCUCAAAAAAUUGCUUCGCUCAAUUGCCAACUGAGAUGAAACUAGCAUACAGGUUAUAUCAUGAACAACCUAAUUAACGACGCCCCUAUUCAGCAGGAAGCAGUUUGUAGAGAAAAAACUACGCCCAUGUUCCCAAAUAUUGUUUAUAAAUGUUCUUUUACAUUUAAAGGGGGAUAUGAUAUAGAUAUGAAUAAUUUGCAUUGGUAUGGAUUUUAUGGUCAAUUUUGUUAUAUGUAUAUGUAUUUUUGAUCUUGAUUAAGGUAUUGUGAUUGUGUAGUUCAUUUAAAAAUGUAAUGUAUAAUUAGGAAAUAUAGGUUGUUAAUGGAUAAUCAUCGCUAAUACUUAAGCUUGUAGUCAUGUUAGUUAGAUUUUCUAGAUAUAUAGAGAGAUAUUUUAGUUAGAUAGGCAUUCUUCAUAUCUUUCAAAGGCUGCAGAAUAUGGCAUUUAAGAUAUUUUAAUAACUUAGGGUUUUUCAUGACAAUGAGACACAUUUGCUCCUGGCAGCACCAAUCUAUUUCAAGAGGAAGAUGGGCAUCGAAGAGAAUCCUUAUGGAGUUUGAUAGCCAUUUGGGCAAGAAACUGCUCUUGCCUGGACUGUUGCAUAAACUGGACACAGAGAACCCGCAGAGAGAGGACUGCUGAACUUGCCUAAAGGUGAGAUGACCUUUUGGGGUUCCUGCUUCAUGAAAGAGUCUGUGAGACAUUCUGCAGGACACAGCAAAAAGUGACUGAACUGUCUUUGGAAUUUCUUGCUUGAUGAGAAUGUCUGCUGGAUACUAUGGGCCUGUAGGCCGAAGAUGGAUGCCCCAACGGUACAGAGGAACUUUGGGUGACUGUCCAGGCAGCGAGAUGUCUCUGUCAUUUCUAGAGUUUUCUUAUUUCUUGUUUGAUAGGUAAUAUUAUAUCCUUCUGGAGUCUUUGAUGGAGUUGAAGAAUGGUUAGUUAUAGUUUUCCUUAGUUAUGAUAAGAGAUAAAAUAGAUAUAAAUAUUGUAACUGUAAUUCUUACUUGAUAACUGUUUUGUUAUAUGUAAUUUUACUAUGUUAAAGUUAAAGCCUUUCUUUUUUGUUUAAACAGAAAAAGGGGAAAUGAUGUGGGAGUGAUUUCUUAUUAAUAAAGAAACUGCCUUGGCCCAUUUUAUUGGAUAGAAAAUUAGGUAGGCGGAGUAGACAGAGGAGAAUGCUGGGAAAAAGAAGCUGUGUGAGGAGUCGCCAUGGUUCUCCCGCUCCAGACAGACGCAGGUUAAGAUCCUCCCUGGUAAGCCAGCUCGUGGGCUACACAGAAUAUUAGAAAUGGGUUAGAACAAUAUGUAAGAGCUAGCCAUAAGGAACUGGAACUAUCCGGGCCAGGCAGUGUUUGAAAGAA